AACGGGUGCGGAACACGUACGCAACCUUCCCAUAACUGGUGAAUAGCCCUCCGAAAGGAGGAUUAAUACACCGUAACAUAACGAAGAGGCAUCUCUUUGUUAUUAUAGCAGCAAUGCGGUUUUGGAUGGGCGUGCGCCUGAUUAGGUAGUUGGCGGGGUAACGGCCCACCAAGCCUACGAUCAGUAACUGGUGUGAGAGCACGACCAGUCACACGGGCACUGAGACACGGGCCCGACUCCUACGGGAGGCAGCAGUAAGGAAUAUUGGUCAAUGGACGAAAGUCUGAACCAGCCAUGCCGCGUGAAGGAUGAAGGCCCUCUGGGUUGUAAACUUCUUUUAUAGGGGACGAAAAAAGGGAAUUCUUUCUCACUUGACGGUACCCUAGGAAUAAGCACCGGCUAACUCCGUGCCAGCAGCCGCGGUAAUACGGAGGGUGCAAGCGUUAUCCGGAUUUACUGGGUUUAAAGGGUGCGUAGGUGGGCAGUUAAGUCAGUGGUGAAAUCUCCGGGCUUAACCCGGAAACUGCCAUUGAUACUAUCUGUCUUGAAUAUUCUGGAGGUAAGCGGAAUAUGUCAUGUAGCGGUGAAAUGCUUAGAUAUGACAUAGAACACCAAUUGCGAAGGCAGCUUACUACGGGAUUAUUGACACUGAGGCACGAAAGCGUGGGGAUCAAACAGGAUUAGAUACCCUGGUAGUCCACGCCCUAAACGAUGGAUACUCGACAUCAGCGAUACACUGUUGGUGUCUGAGCGAAAGCAUUAAGUAUCCCACCUGGGAAGUACGACCGCAAGGUUGAAACUCAAAGGAAUUGACGGGGGUCCGCACAAGCGGUG
rnacentral:rRNA from 1 species